CAGUCGCCGCGGUAAUACGGAGGGUGCAAGCGUUAAUCGGAAUUACUGGGCGUAAAGCGCACGCAGGCGGUCUGUUAAGUCAGAUGUGAAAUCCCCGGGCUUAACCUGGGAACUGCAUUUGAAACUGGCAGGCUAGAGUCUUGUAGAGGGGGGUAGAAUUCCAGGUGUAGCGGUGAAAUGCGUAGAGAUCUGGAGGAAUACCGGUGGCGAAGGCGGCCCCCUGGACAAAGACUGACGCUCAGGUGCGAAAGCGUGGGGAGCAAACAGGAUUAGAUACCCCGGUAGUCCCUGUCUCUUAUAC
rnacentral:rRNA from 1 species